UACGUAGGGCGCGAGCGUUGUCCGGAAUUAUUGGGCGUAAAGAGCUCGUAGGCGGCUCGUCGCGUCUGCUGUGAAAACGCGGGGCUUAACUCCGCGCUUGCAGUGGGUACGGGCAGGCUUGAGUGUAGUAGGGGAGACUGGAUUUCCUGGUGUAGCGGUGGAAUGCGCAGAUAUCAGGAGGAACACCGAUGGCGAAGGCAGGUCUCUGGGCUCAUUCUGACGCUGAGGAACGAAAGCGUGGGUAGCAAACAGG
rnacentral:rRNA from 1 species